rnacentral:rRNA from 1 species
AAUAUUGGACAAUGGGGGGAACCCUGAUCCAGCCAUGCCGCGGGUGUGAAGAAGGUCUUCGGAUUGUAAAGCACUUUAAGUUGGGAGGAAGAGUUGUAGGCUAAUACCUUGCAGUUUUGACGUUACCAACAGAAUAAGCACCGUCUAACUUUGUGCCCUCAGCCGCGGUAAUACGAAGGGUGCAAGCGUUAAUCGGAAUUACUGGGCGUAAAGCGCGCGUAGGUGGUUUGUUAAGUUGGAAGUGAAAGCCCCGGGCUCAACCUGGGAACUGCUUUCAAAACUGACGAGCUAGAGUACGGUAGAGGGUAGUGGAAUUUCCUGUGUAGCGGUGAAAUGCGUAGAUAUAGGAAGGAACAUCAGUGGCGAAGGCGACUACCUGGACUGAUACUGACACUGAGGUGCGAAAGCGUGGGGAGCAAACAGG